AGGAUGGAGCAAGCACAGUACUCCAAGGCACCAGAGAGGUACUCCACACCACCAUGUAGGGGAUGGCUACAUAAGGCAAGAAGGCAGAGGUAUGGGGAAGUUUAACUCUGAACAUGAAGGUUUACCGUGCACGGCCAGAGAGAAGUCUCUGGAACUCUAGUAUCCCCCGAAAUAGGCCUAUCCUUUGAGGGGUUUAGAAAGAGUGCCUGACUGGAGCUGUGACUCGUGCCUGAUCAGUACAGGUACCCGGGCUUAAAUUUCGAACUCUGGAGGUACGUACACAUUACAGUCAGUGCUUAAAAGGAAACUGUUAACAGUACGGUGGUUGGACCACUGUGUUCAACACUGGUGUAGGGUGUAUCUCGCGACAGGGCUUGAGGUACCGGGGUGACUGGUGGUGGCUUGACGGCCGCUCCAUUGUGUUCACUCUGGAUCCGGCGUCUUCGCCGCGCUUGGGUUUGCUGGGUUUAAUUAUGGGUAAGUGCGGCAAUAAGUCUUUGCCGGUUUCUCGUCUUUACGAUGGGCCAGCAAAGAUAUUGUCUGGUGUUUAUGGUACAUGGACAUGUGAACAAAUGUUUCUUUGAGUGUUAUUAGGGUUUCCGGCGACUGCCGUUUUCGUUUCGGUGAUGGAUGCGCGGCCUGCCGGGCUGAUUGGAGGUAGAUGGCCGUGGUAACGUAUGGAAGUUGCAGGAGGCGUAAUGUGACAUUGUUUGGAAGGCAUAGGCUACGGUGUGUAGAACGUGUUGACUGAUGGAAGCUUUGGGAUAGUUGUGUGGGGUGAAUUGAUCUGUGUUGUAGCCCUUUUCGUUCAGGUUGUCCUCUCUGACCGCCCCCACCCCCCCCGCUGCUUCUUGGAGGUUUGCGUGGUCCCAACAUUUCCCUGCCAUUGACGUAGCCAACCCCCGCCGGAGGCCGAACUGGCUCCCGUUUGGUUUUGCUCAAUGGACCUUUUCGUUGUCCGUGGUGGUGUUCGCUUUCCUUUGGAAGUAUUGAGCUUGUCUACACGGGUCAAGAAAAUGUC